rnacentral:rRNA from 1 species
UACGUAGGAUGCAAGCGUUGUUCGGAAUUACUGGGCGUAAAGAGUACGUAGGCGGUUUGAUAAGUCUGCUAUUAAAGACUGGAGCUUAACUCCAGGACUAUAGUGGAAACUGUCAGACUAGAGGACAAUAGAGGAAGUCGGAAUUCUCAGUGUAGCGGUGAAAUGCGUAGAUAUUGGGAAGAACACCAGUGGCGAAAGCGGACUUCUGGGUUGUUACUGACGCUGAGGUACGAAAGCGUGGGGAGCAAACGGG